AUCAUGUCCGAUCAUUCAGCCUUGGAAAACAGCAUAAGUAAAUAAGCUUCUGAGAGUGAUGAGCCUGCGGUCAUUCAACUUCAGUCAAAGAUUGAUGUUUCAGUUGGGACAAAGAGAAGAGGCUUCCACCAAAUCUGCAAACUUUUACAAUUAGAAGCCUUAAAUGUUAGAAUGCGAGCGAACAUCAGCACGCAGUCUGUGAAACGGCGGGAGGCGUCACCAUGGAAACUAAACUGCAGACGUUUCAUAUUGAAACAGUACAGCCACGUCCUGCAGACUAAAGCUGACGAUGCCGUUUGGAGUUGGGCUGGUGCAACUUACGUGAUCAUAUGAGCAAAGUCAGCUGUAGAAAGGAGAAAAUGAUAUAUGCGAGUAGCUUUGUUUAUCAUACGUGUGUGUUAUUGAUGUAUGUAAUUAUCGAUGUGACAGAGCCUGCUUUUCAUGUCUCUGGAUUUCUGCAGCACUCGAGUCAUAGGGAGCUGGAAGUCUUUGUGGUGGGAUUGGAUCGUCAGCCUCUAAGAAACUCUGUCCCCACAGCAGCUGUGGACUCCACCUGUAUCCCACUGAUGCUCUACACCUGCCACAGCUGCUAGUGUUGUUUCUCAGACUGAUUGAAGUCCAUAAGAUGAUGAUCGAGGAAGAGGAGGACAAAGCGAAGUCUGCAGGACUCUGCCGUCUGCCUGUGAAGAGUGACCGGUCCAUUGGUAAACCCCCAGACUUCAGAGAAGAACCUGGACCACCACACACAAAGUAAGAACCUGACCUGAACAUUUAAUCAAAUCUGUAGUGAUGAAGAGGCAUACAUUAUACUAAUGGUAGCAAUGCACUGAUUGUAAUUCCCAUUUUCAGUUUUGUGUAAGUGUGACCUGCUGACAUCAACUAACAAGUAAAAAUCAAGGUUUGUUCAUCCAGUAAGGGUUCCCAAAGCUAGUCCCCAUCCCCCGGAUUAACAAGGUCUGCAUCAGCUGCCGCUCCUCGACUGUGCAAAAUAGAGAGAGAAAAACAUUAUAUACAGUAAGUAAGUAGAUACAAAUCGGUAGAUGACAUUAUGCGCAAUAUGUGAGUAAAUUAUAUACAUUAAGUUAAAUAGAAUAAAAAAAUCUGGAAAUUUACAGUUCAAAAUGUACAUUGUGUGAGUGGGGUGUUAAAGUGGCUUGUGCCGCAAUGAAGUCAGAAGGAUCAGGCAUGAAAUGGUCUUGCCAACGUUCAGCUGGAGGUGGUUGUCCUGGCACCACAAUGCCAGAUUCUUCACUUCAUCCAUGUAGGCCGCCUCAUCGUUGGUGGAGAUGGCGCCCAACACCACUGUGUCGUCAGCAAACUUCACAAUGGUGUUGGAGCUGUGGGUGGCCACACAGUCUGAAGUGUAGAGGGAGUAGAGCAGUGGCGAGAGGACACAGCCCUGUGGUGCUCCCGUGUCGAUGGCGAUGCUGUCGGAGACACACCUACCCACCCUCAACACCUGAGUUCUGCCAGUGAGGAAGUCCAACACCCAUGCACACAGACGGCUGUUGAGUCCCAGAUCCCUCAGCUUUGUGAACAGUC